CACGCCGUAAACGUUGAGAACUAAGUGUUGGGGAGACCCAGUGCUGAAGCUAACGCAUUAAGUUCUCCGCCUGAGGAGUACGCACGCAAGUGUAAAACUUAAAGGAAUUGACGGGGGCCCGCACGAGCAGUGGAGCAUGUGGUUUAAUUCGAGGCUACGCGAAGAACCUUACCAGGGCUUGACAGGAAACUUAAGACCCUAGAGAUAGGGGGAUAAUAAGUGAAACAGGUGG
rnacentral:rRNA from 1 species